UACAGAGGUCCCAAGCGUUGUUCGGAUUCAUUGGGCUUAAAGGGUGCGCAGGCGGCGAGGCAAGUCGGACGUGAAAUCUCGGGGCUUAACCCCGAACUGCGUUCGAUACUGCUUUGCUCGAGGACUGGAGAGGAGACUGGAAUUCCUGGUGUAGCAGUGAAAUGCGUAGAUAUCAGGAGGAACACCGGUGGCGAAGGCGGGUCUCUGGGCAACAACUGACGCUGAGGAGCGAAAGCGUGGGGAGCGAACAGG
rnacentral:rRNA from 1 species